rnacentral:misc_RNA from 1 species
AUCUCUCAACGCAAGAAAACUUUUCUUGUGCUUGGAUAGUGAAGGUUUUGCUGGCGCAAAUAACUGUCAGCUCCUUUUAAAUGCAUUAGCAGAGCAGUGUAGGACUGGCCUCAGUUUGAUAAGAAAAGUUUAUCUAUGCUGUCGCUAGAUUUCCUCUGUGUUCAGCUUCAAACCGUCUUCGGACUGUCUCUCUUGAGGCAAAACAAUUCAUU